UCUCGGCUGUACGGACCUGUUUACAGUCAACUGACAAAGGUGCACCCCUUCACAAUAAUAGACCCAACCAGCUGUGACACGGUCACGUAAUGCAUUAGUAAUCACUUGAUCAGGUGAGCUGAACAAGCUGUAGUGUUAAUGAUGAC